rnacentral:rRNA from 1 species
AGUAACGGCGAGUGAACCGGGAUGAGCUCAAAUUUGAAAUCUGGCGUCUUUCAGGCGUCCGAGUUGUAAUCUAUAGAGGCGUUUUCCGCGCCGGACCGCGUCCAAGUCUCUUGGAAUAGAGUAUCAAAGAGGGUGACAAUCCCGUACUUGACGCGACAACCGGUGCUCUGUGAUACGUUCUCAACGAGUCGAGUUGUUUGGGAAUGCAGCUCUAAAUGGGUGGUAAAUUCCAUCUAAGGCUAAAUAUUGGCGAGAGACCGAUAGCGAACAAGUACCGUGAGGGAAAGAUGAAAAGCACUUUGGAAAGAGAGUUAAACAGCACGUGAAAUUGUUAAAAGGGAAACGAUUGAAGUCAGUCGUGUGAAAGGUAUUCAGCCGUCUCUGGCGGUGUAUUUGCCUUUCACGGGUCAACAUCAGUUUAGUCCGGUAGAAAAAGGCUGGAGGAAGGUGGCACCCUCGGGUGUGUUAUAGCCUCCUGUCACAUGUGCCGGAUUAGACUGAG